rnacentral:rRNA from 1 species
UACGUAGGGGGCAAGCGUUGUCCGGAUUUAUUGGGCGUAAAGAGCGUGUAGGCGGUUCGGUAGGUCCGUUGUGAAAACUCGAGGCUCAACCUCGAGACGCCGAUGGAAACCCCCGAACUAGAGUCCGGAAGAGGAGUGUGGAAUUCCCGGUGUAGCGGUGAAAUGCGCAGAUAUCGGGAAGAACACCCGUGGCUAAGGCGGCUCUCUAGUACGGUACUGACGCUGAGACGCGAAAGCGUGGGGAGCGAACAGG